UACAAACUCUUUGAGUUUUUCUUCUACUUCUUCGUCUCCAGGCUUGGAAACGAGCAAAAUCGAAGUGAUGUUGGGCUUGAUGGGAGUUACAUCUAAUCGUCGUAUUAGCAAAUAUCCGGGAAUGUCAAUAUCAAUGUUUGCUUACGAAGUUUUUUAUUAAUUGUACGAGUUUCCCAAACUACGUCUCGUAAAGCCUCCUGCUCGUUGAUCGGUGCCUUCCUGUGCAUCACCAUGCAAUCUGAAACGUAUGGAUACAACUGUGCAUGAACGGAGCAAUAUGGAAAGCUUCCGUGAUAAUCAUUUUCCGUUGUGGGAUUUGUUGGUAAGCAUGAAUCAUCGAAUUCCGCCAUGAAUGCAAAAACUGCUGGGUCGCCAACAA